rnacentral:tRNA from 1 species
GUGGCUGUAGCUCAGCUGGUUAGAGCACCAGAUUGUGGUUCUGGGGGUCGUGGGUUCGAAACCCAUUAGCCACC